rnacentral:rRNA from 1 species
CAAUAGCGUAUAUUUAAGUUGCUGCAGUUAAAAAGCUCGUGGUUGGAUUUCGGGUGGGAAUGGCCGGUCCGCCGUUUCGGUGUGCACUUGCUACGCCCACCUUGCUGCCGGGGACGUGCUCUUGAGUUCACGCUCGGGACACGGAGUCGGCGAGGUUACUUUGAGUAAAUUAGAGUGUUCAAAGCAGGCCUACGCUCUGAAUACAUUAGCAUGGAAUAACACGAUAGGACUCUGGCCUAUCUUGUUGGUCUGUAGGACCGGAGUAAUGAUUAAGAGGGACAGUCGGGGGCAUUCGUAUUUCAUUGUCAGAGGUGAAAUUCUUGGAUUUAUGAAAGACGAACUACUGCGAAAGCAUUUGCCAAGGAUGUUUUCAUUAA